UUUGGCAGAGCAAAACCUGCACCAGUGCCUAUUACAGAUGUACCAGAGGAACGUCUAAUAGGUCUUCCACAACAGAAGAGCACUGACCCAAAAGUAGACCCUUGUUCCGUAGUGGAACUUGGAUGUGUGGCUGGAACAUCCCCUCGCACUAGGGUUUCACAUAAAAAGGCAACUGAGCAGCCAUCCAGUGUGCUCUCGGAGUUUGUGGAAGGCUGCAGAGAUCUACCAAGGGAGAGCUGGGAUUUGGAAGGCUCUCUGGCCAUUGUGAAGAAGAAGAAAAAGAAACCAAAACAAAAGAGAAACCAGCUGCCAAGAACAAUGGAGUUCUGGGAUGAAAAUGGAACAGUCUCAAAAGGUCCUAGAAAUUCUCCAUUUGCUGUUGAAUUGCAAAAGCCAGAUGUCUGUCCUGUAAUGCCUGCUGAAGCUCGCACAGAGCAGUCAAUUGCCUCAGGAAACAGAGCUUCGGAUAUGCCAAAGGAUGCUAAAAAAAUAACUGGAAGUCAUAUCCUGGAUGAGCAAAAUGCCUUUUUGGUGCCAGCACCAGGACAGCAGGCCCCAAAACCCAGUGCAGCGUUAGAAUUGGUGUUGGAUGCAAAAAAUAGAGAGGUCAUGAAAACAGAAGAAAUGAGAGAUGACAGUUUGAUGUUGCAGUCUAAAGGCAAAAGAAAAGAGGUUCCCUUGGAACAGCUAGAGAAGACUAAGGUGGGGGAAUCUGUUACAGCAAAGGGGCCAACCAAGCCCGUGGAAAGAGAUUUCUUGAUAAAAAUGAGGAGUAUAGGGAGUCAAAAUGUGCUGGUCUGACAGCAUAUCCUUUGGAAGCAAUAAAUCUAAGCAAAGUAGAAACUCCUUUAGAGACCAAACUUUCAGAAUUGCUUCUUUCUGACAGAGAUAAGGAGGCUAAAUCCCCAUCCCCCAGGAGUGAGGCAUUCAGUGACCCUGUCCAUUGUGAGGUUCAGACCUCCAACAGGUCACUGGAAGCAGCAGCAAAGAAAAGAGGUACUUGUGAAAAAAGCAAAAGGGUUGGAAAUGAACUCUUCAAACAGCCCAUGCUUCCAGAGGCUGCGGCUCCAUCGGACAAGCUUCCUAAUGAGCCGAAGGCAGCUCAUGAAACUAAAACAGUGUCCCCCAAUAAGUGCAUGGCUGUUGACUUUAGUACUUCAGAGGCAGGCUUGAAGAUCCCAACAGAUACCACAGAAAUUCCCGUUGCACCAUUAGUUGUACCAAACCCCAAGGAAGUUACUGCUUCGCAAAACAGAAAGGCUGAUAGUUUUUCAGAGCAGCCAUUUCUUCUGUUGGCCACGUCUGAUGCAACCAAACAUCCCACCUCCACUGAAGCAGUGGAAGGAAUGAUGGGAGCAGGUUCCCCUGAUAAAAACAAAGGGAAAGGAUUUAUUGCAUUAGAGCAGCAGGCUGGAAGAGAUCCAAAUAUUGCACAUGGGAUGGACAGACCUAAAAAAAAGCGUGGUGAAGGGAAAGUAAAAAAAAUCAAAAGCUUCUCCGAGCAGGUGAUGUUUUCAGAGGAUGUAAGCAAACUAACUGAUGGAGUGAGGAUAGAUGAGAAUAGAAAAGAUACAACUUACCCUGAUAAAGGUAGAGGUUUUGCUGCUAGAGGACAUCCGUCAGUAAGCAUUACACAUGCUUAUCCUGCAGACAAGCCCAAAAAAAGAGGUAGUGAUGGAAGAAGCAAAAAAGGUGAAAGAAGUUUUUUCCAGCAGCCUUUUCUUGAGAGCAAGAUGGACCCGAGUAGUUUUCCUGACAUAACUGAUAAAACUAAGGAGGUUAGUGUUAGUGAAAAAGGCAGAGAGAGGGUCUGGGUUACUGCUGAGUGUUUUCAGGAGAAUAUAUCAGAUAUAAGUAAAAUGCAAAGGCCAAUUGAACUGGGAACAGAGGAGCCUAAAGAAAAUGUUGGAAAAAAUGAAACAGCCAAUUUGGGUGCUUUAGACGAACCAUUCCUGCUGGAGAGUAGGAGAGAGGAGGCAAAGCAUCUUCCUAUGGCUGACACAAUCAACAAAACAGAAGAGGUAGAUUUGAUUAACAAAGGCAAGGAGGCUGGCAUUACUUCUGAAUCAGUGGUGAGGAAUUCUGAUGCAUUGCUGGUGGCAGACAAACCUAGAAAGAGGAGCAGUGAGGGGAAAAGAAAAAACCUGAAAAA
ensembl:lncRNA